UGUAUAAGGAGGGUAAUCUCUCGAAAUUUACUGAAGCUCACAGAAUGGAGCAAGUCAGUACGUUUUUUUGCCGGUGAUGACGCUUUUGCUACAACAGUUCUAUGGUCACAUGGUAUUUUUGUUUAUAUUUUUUCAUGAUAAUGUGACAAGUCAAAAGAUAAUUAUUUAUUAAUUGCUAUUAAUUAAUGUGACGAUUUAAACUAUGAUCAUAAUAUAAUACAUUGAUAAAACUAUCAAUAAGUCUGCAUUUAAAACACGAAAAAUGGUACAAAAAUGUAUUGUUUCCGAAUGUCAAACAUUAAAGGGAAAUAAAAAUGGUAUUUCUAUUUUUUCUGUACCAAAGGAUCCUAAACUUUUUGAUGCUUGGAAAUCAAAUCUCCCAAAGCUAAGGAAUUCCCU